rnacentral:rRNA from 1 species
UACGUAGGGUGCAAGCGUUGUUCGGAAUUACUGGGCGUAAAGGGCUCGUAGGCGGCCAACUAAGUCAGACGUGAAAUCCCCAGGCUCAACCUGGGAACUGCGUCUGAUACUGGAUGGCUUGAAUCCGGGAGAGGGAUGCAGAAUUCCAGGUGUAGCGGUGAAAUGCGUAGAUAUCUGGAGGAAUACCGGUGGCGAAGGCGGCAUCCUGGACCGGCAUUGACGCUGAGGCGCGAAAGCCAGGGGAGCAAACGGG